GUCCCACUGAAGGGACAUGAACAUGCGAUAUUUAUCCGGGGACUCCUGUUCUUCACUCUUAACUGCCUCGCAAUUUGUACCCGUCCAAUGUCCAGGCUGAACAUACUCCUAGAACAGAAGAGGCUCCUGCAUCACAGAGCUGAUUUUCCUAGCAGAGGGACCCAGACUAAGAAGAAAUCUCUUGGAUUUAAAGAACUUUUCAUCACUCUGUUCAACUACUUUCUGUACAACAAAGAGCUGGAUGUGGACCACUACCAACAAUAAGAGUUCCCCAUCUCACGAAUGUCCAAUAUGAAGGUCUGGCACCUUGCCUUCCAAUAUGGAAUAUACGUCUUGCUGGGACAAUCCCCUGGAAUCACAAAGAACUCCAGCAGCGGCUUGCACCCAUCCUCAUCCUCAGAGGAAUACUGGAAACCAGACUGCAGAAGCAGCAACAUGCUCCCUUCCAACAAGUCACACAGAGAAGGGAGUAUCAAAGCAGUAACUUCACCCACCAUGUGUUGCAUUACAGGAAACUUUAAUGUUCAGAAAUGCAUUUCCCUUUUAUUUAUUUUUUUUGGAGGAGGCGGCCAUAGGAAUUUCAAUUUACAGCCAUUGGUGAUCACUUCUAUUUGGAAUCAUUGGCAAAAGAGUGUAGUAGUGACUGAGAAUGGGUAGGAGACAAGAUUGGUCAUUCAAUGGGAGAGGAGUUCAAUUUUUCCAACAAAUCUUUGGGAGAUAAAGCUGAAUAAAAUGAAUUACUCUUCAGUGGUGACUGGAGAUAUGGCCAGAGUUCAUGGGACUGAUAUGAGCACAACCAGGACUAUAGAACUGUGGAUAUCAGGGGAAAUUUCUGAAAAAUGUUAUCCAAAACAUUUUCUAUUAUCAAGAUCCAGGAUUUUCUGUGUCUUAAAGGAAUCUAAAAGAUGGGAUCCAGAAGGCCGAAUCCAGGAGGCAGAAGGCAAAGGUUCUCUUUAUCAAAUUAGAAAGAAGAUACUUUCACAAAAUAUUUUUAAAGCCUGUUAAGUUUCUUUGCCAUCACAAAAAGAUGAAAUGGAAAGGGUAAAACUCCUCAGCUUCUUGAAGAACCCCACCACUACCCCUACAUUGUUGUUUUUAAUGAG
rnacentral:lncRNA from 1 species